ACUGUAUUUUGCAUCGCUUUGCGAUAUUCCUGUUUCUUGCAAUCGAUGCGGAAGACGCACCCCCUAAGGGGGUGUUCUAAUUUAAAUUGCGGUGGGAUUUUGCUGCGAUGAAACUAUAACACCCUUUUCAGUCUCAUUUACAAGGUUUCUUUGUGCAUGUUUCGAUAAGGUUUAACAAUUUAAAAAAAGGUUAAAAUCGGUGGCCAUAAUUCCGAUCAUUUUAUUAUUUAUCUAGAAUGAACAAACGCCUGAGAUCCUUGAUUUAAUUACAGAUCUUUCUAAAUGAUUUUUCAAUGUAAUAGAAGAAGAAAGAAAAGAUAUUUUUCUCCAAUUAAAAAGUUCCUUAUAGUGAACACAGAAUAUUAAUAUAAAAAGUUGCCGCAUCAUUUUUCAAAGCAAUUCUCGCAUUAUUAAUUUGCUGUAUAUUUACAGAGCUGCUAAAAAUGGAAGUACAAAAAAAAUCACGCGAAACGAAAUUACUAUAGGUCGGAAUAAAUGCCUUAAUUUUUUGAAGUUAAACUAGCUGCGAGUGUUUAACACAAAGGGUUAAUACAAAUGUAAACACCAUGGUUAAUACAAAUAAGUUCUACCAAUAUGCACCACAUUAAUUGCAUUUAAAAAACUUGCAUACAUACCGUGCACAAAUGCACAAAGAUCGGCGGUUUAUUUAUUACUUUUCCGAACAAUAAAACGCACGCAAACGAUUGAAACAAAUAUCUCUGUCAUACUGACCUUUUAUUCCUCUGUCCAGAUCCAAAACCCGAGAAUCCAUAAAAAAAGCCGUGCGAGAUGGCGUCGAGACAGAUACGGAACGCGGUGCCCGUCGAGCGAACCUCCGUUUACCAUUUUCACGUCGCAUCGUCCGAACGGUCUGUUCCUUGUCCCACGGACUGCGGUGGCCGGGUCCAUUUGGGCCCAGAGCUGGAGAAAUUGCUGUUCGAAUAUCAGUUUUUCUGUUGAAUAAAUUUUUCGUUAAUUUUAUUAUUUUGGUUUCUUUUGAGAUGCUUCUUCUUGUUCUUCGGCUUCUUCUGUUUGCGUUAAACUGAUUGUUUCGUCUCUUUUUAGCGACUUCUUCCUUUUACGUUCAUAUAACUCUUUUCAUUCUUUUUAGCAAUGAAAUUAAUCUGAAUAAUAUGUAUGUCUAUAGAGUAUUAAUUAGUAUGAGAGUUCCAAUUUCCGUUGACGAUUUAAUUAGGAAAUGAUAAACAAAUGGAAUAGUUUGUAAGAAACAUGGUGUUAUCUUUGUGUAAAAUAACAAUUCUGCGCAUGAAUAAAUUGCUGAAAAAUUCGUA